UCAGAGACAAGGUCUUUGUCUGUUGCUCAGGAUGGAGUGUAGUGGUGCCAUAGCACACUGUAAUCUUGAAUUUCUGGACUACUGGCAUACACCACCAUGCUUAGGUUCGGGCCACAACAUCCGUGACUUUACCGGUUUUGGUCUCUUCCUUGUAACCUUCGGCUCCAGGAUGCUGCGCAGUUCCUCUCUGCACUAUCUAUCAGAAUGUUGCUCUGCGUGCUUGAAAGUUUCACCAAACAGAAGUACACAAGAACAAACAGAGGUGAAACACAAAUCCCCUCAGCCCUGGAGGAAAAGGCCUUGAAGCUCUUCCAGUGCAGAGGCCACGCAGAGGACAUGCUCCUACCUGUGCACAUCAGCCACGCCUGGGGUGCCUCCUGGAGUCCAGACUGCUGGCGAUGGAAUCCAUCAUGUUGCUGAUGUCACUGUAAGUCGCAGCCUGCAGGCUGAGCUAUGGGGCAGUUUGAGGGGCCAGAAGUUUUCUCCUGGAUGUCAUCUUCAGCAUACCCAGGAACCAGAGAAA
rnacentral:lncRNA from 1 species